AGGCAACAAGCUAGCUAGAAAAAAAAAAAUAUAAGAAAGAAACCGAGCAUUUCUGCGUGUUAUGUGUUGUUGUUGUGAUCAGAGAUCAGUGGAUCAGUGAAACGAACCAAGUGAAAGUGAACGCAGAAACCCUCAAAGAAGAGAAAACCACUCAAGUCUCAAGUGAAACCAGGGAAGAAGUCCUCAAAUCAGAAACCAUGUCGGACAUUGAGGAUGUUUUUGGUGGCUCCGCCGAGGAGGAGACCAAAACCGAUGCCCAGCCGGAUGCCGAGAGCAAGAGCAGUGUGGUUACCGAGCAGACCGAGGAAGUGAUUCCCGGGGAGACCGAGAAAAUGGUCACCGAGACCAUUGACGAGGAUGGCGACGUGGUGGAGGAGACCACCGAAGUCACCCGCAAGACGGUCAAGCGCACCAUGAAAAUUACUGAGACUUCAGCCACCACAAAGACAACCACGCUCACCACUCCGGCCAAGCUGUAUGGCAAGGACCUGAGCGAGUACGAUGAUGUGGAUGUGGAGAGUCUGCUGGCCCAGCUCUCGGCCGAGGAGAUAACCAUAUUGGCCAAAGAAGUGGAUCCCGAUGACAACUUCCUGCCGCCUGAUCAGCGCUGCAGCUAUGAGUGCACCAAGGAUGCCACCGGGCCGCUGAACCGCAAGCAGCUGAUCGAGCACAUCAACAAGCAGGCUAUCGAGACCCCCGACCAGCCAGAGUUCGAGCCCUUCGUCCAGGGCAAGGUGCGUGGCAAGAAGUGGGUGCCCCCGCCAAGGGAUGCCCGGGACAUCGAGGCCGAGGAACAGAUCGCCAUCGAUCUGGGCGAGGAGUAUGAACACGCUCUCAACGACGCCACGCAGGAGGAGAUCAUCGAUCUGGCCGCCAUUCUGGGCUUCCACUCGAUGAUGAACCAGGACCAGUACCAUGCCUCGUUGCUCAACAAGGGCCAGCCGGUGGGCAUGGGCUGGGACGGCAUCACCAAGUCUACGCAGCAGAAGCUCUUCCCCAUGGAUCCGCCAAACAGCACAGACGUCGAGGAGUCCAUUAAGCGGGUCAAGGACGAUGACUCCAAGCUGAUUGACCUCAACUUGAACAACAUUAAGAACAUCUCGGACGAGAAGCUCGAGCAACUGUUUGCCGCACUGCCUCAGAAUGAACAUCUGGAAGUCCUCUCGCUGACAAAUGUCGGCCUCACCGACAAGACAGCCCUCCUGCUGGCGGAGGCUAUCGAGAAGAGCAAAACCCUGAGAGUAUUAAACGUCGAGACCAACUUCAUCAGUCCGCCCGUGAUCGUCAGGCUGGUGCAAGCCCUGCUCAAGUGCCGAACCAUUGAGGAGUUCAGGGCCUCCAAUCAGCGAUCUGCGGUGCUGGGCAACAAGAUCGAGAUGGAGAUCACCGACCUGGUGGAGAAGAACUCGUCGCUGCUGCGCCUCGGCUUGCACCUGGAGUUCAACGACGCCCGUCACCGUGUGGCCGCUCACCUGCAGCGCAACAUCGACAGAAUAAGAAAAGAUCUUGAGUUGCGACUGCAGUUCAGAUUUUUCAAUAAUCUGCAUAGAAAGUCAACAAGAAUUCAGUAAGCAGACCAGAAGCAGAAGCAGAAAGCAAGCAAAGCAACUAAACCAUUUUUAAAGCGUUUUGUAAUCUAAACCCCAAGAACCGAAGAUAAAAAACAUAAACAUAUAACAACGAAAGAACGUGUAUAAUAUAAUACUUGUAUAAUGAAGAAGGACUAAGCAGGAGCAGAAGUUUAAGAUAAAGAUAAUCAGCCCCAGAGCUUGGAAAUAAUAUAUCUGUAUACUCUAGAGAGACUUAACUAAGCACAGCAAACUGAAACCAAAGAAACGAAGUGAAAUAUAUCAAACUAUAUACAUAUACUUUUAAAUUAUAUAACGUUAAAGCGCAGUUCGAGCAGGCCCAUCUAGAAUGGGCUCUGUUCGGAGUCGAGGCCUGUUUUAUAAUCCAGCAGAACAAACGUUUAGGCGACACGUAUAUACUUUUCUCUAAAGCUUGACACAGUACGUGUGAAACGCCUCAACCAGCGUAAAUAAAAAGACAAAAUCGAAAAAAUUAUAUAGCAGCAACCAACAACAAUUAUAAGCUACCACCACCAACCACCCAAGAACAAAAUCAAGCAGAAAGCCAUCUACUAUGUGUGUGCAUUCGUUGUCCAACUCUUGAUUACCAAAUUAACAAGCAAUCCACGCCAGAAACACCAACAGCAACCAGAACCAGAACCACCACGAAUACAACAACCGCGGCAACUAGAUCAACAAUUUCUAUCCAACCUAUUCUCCCACCAAAAAUUCAGUCCUAUUGUGAAACCCGAACCAAUCUACCAACCAAAUGUGAACUAACACCGAAGAAUGAUGUGUGACAUGAA
rnacentral:misc_RNA from 1 species